UAUAUAUAUAUAUAGUCCAGCAUGUCGGAGUCGUUUUGGAUACAUGAAAUGUAGUUGCAAAUGAAGGCUCUCCCAGCUGCAGCACUAAAGCUAGCAGAGACCUGAAGGUAAAAACUAGGUCGAAAUUCCAAUGAUCAGGUACGUACGUACGUAGGAGAGAUAUAGAAGAAAUGUUAAUUUAAAUAAUGCAAAGUUUCUUGUUCUUCAACC
rnacentral:lncRNA from 1 species